UAUGCUGUUCGUUCUACGUUUCAUUUAUAACUGAAAUAAAUAUUGUCAUUUCCAAAUCUGUAAUUUGUAUCUGUAAUGACUAUUACAAAAUUUUAAACUAUUUUAAAUCACAUUUACCUGUAGGCGUUGGGAUACCUGCUCAAAGGACUAGACUGAAGUCUAAUGGUAGUGCGCUGUGUUGAUGAAUACAAGUGUACACGUAUAAUGCGUGCUAUAGUCAAGACAUUUAUUAAUUCCAUCCAGUCCGGUCCGAAAUUAGAAACCAAAGUGAGCCACACACUGUGUGUGUCUUUGAGGGCGACUUGGGAGCAAGUCAGGAAUUUAUGGCCCGCUGCAGCUGGGGUUUGGGUUUUCUUGAGAAAGUUUGACAGAAUAACCCCUUGGAGUAUACGCAGUGGAUGCAAAAACUGCAUCAAAGUGCAGUGGCAACAACAACGACAAACACAAAAAUGCAAUUACCGAAAUGAUAACAAGGCCUACGAGCGCAUAAGGCUUCGAUGGACAUUGGACAACGGACAUUGGACAAUGGACGGAGUCCUUCAUCUUGGACUUUGCUUUUCCAGCUCAAGAUGUUGCUAUGGCCGCAUUGCCAUCUACAUGUGUAUGUGUGCCAGAGUUUGUGUGCCAACGCACGUGAUGCUGUGUGUGUGUGUGAAGUGAAGCAUAAAAUAUAUAUUAAUAUACAAGUGUACAAAAAUGCAAUAUACGAUUGUAAAAUACCUUGCAAAGACGAGCAAA